GCCCGGGUGGCGGAAUUUUGGUAGACGCAAGGGACUUAAAAUCCCUCGGUACAUUGUACCGUGCCAGUUCGAGUCUGGCCCCGGGCACCA
rnacentral:tRNA from 1 species